rnacentral:rRNA from 1 species
CCUACGGGGGGCAGCAGUGGGGAAUAUUGGACAAUGGGGGGAACCCUGAUCCAGCCAUGCCGCGUGUGUGAAGAAGGCCCUCGGGUUGUAAAGCACUUUCAGUGAGGAAGAACGCCUGGUGGUUAAUACCCAUCAGGAAAGACAUCACUCACAGAAGAAGCACCGGCUAACUCCGUGCCAGCAGCCGCGGUAAUACGGAGGGUGCGAGCGUUAAUCGGAAUUACUGGGCGUAAAGCGCGCGUAGGUGGCUUGAUAAGCCGGUUGUGAAAGCCCCGGGCUCAACCUGGGAACGGCAUCCGGAACUGUCAAGCUAGAGUGCAGGAGAGGAAGGUAGAAUUCCCGGUGUAGCGGUGAAAUGCGUAGAGAUCGGGAGGAAUACCAGUGGUGAAGGCGGCCUUCUGGACUGACACUGACACUGAGGUGCGAAAGCGUGGGUAGCAAACAGGAUUAGAUACCCCUGUAGUC